GCAGACGGAAGGGGCGGGGCGGCCGUUGCCACAGAAGCCACUCGCCGGUUACCAGCUCGGCUUUUGUCUCGCCGCACCUCUGAGGGCGCCCUCCCACCGUCAGCACUCCCAGAAAACCUCCGAUCUGCCUCCUCGCAUUCCCUGGCUUGCCAUCCCCGUCUUCCACCCACGGCGUUGCCCCCGCAUCCCGCUCCCUGCCAACAGCCGCAGAGCAGAGCUUACGUGGAGAAGUUGUGGAAACCAUCUAUAAUUCUGCUUACUGAAUUGAUGGAGAAGUCUACAAAUGAUGGAAAUCAUUCAGAAGAAUUCUCGGACUAUCUCAAAAAUAGAUCAGAGAGUGAAUGUUUACCACCGUCUGCCAGUGAAAGCCAUCUCAUCUGGUACUCACCUCAAUAUCAGGGGCAAUUGAAUUCUCUGAUUUCAGGCCCAAAGCAGGAUAACCUCAAUGAAAAGGCUGAAUUGAAAGCAACACCUACAGCUUCUUCUGUAGAAUUACUUUCGCCGUUACUUAAAGAUACCCUUGAAAAGAUUGGUUUUGAAAAUGCUGAUCUUUCUGCAUCUAAUUUGAAGAUUGCUAAACAGAAGGAAAUAUUAACCAAAGAAUUAGACACUUUCAAACCCGCAAACGUAGCUUUAGACCAUCUUAGAAACACAGACUACAAACAAACAGGAGACUCUUUGUCCAGCACGUUCUUAGAGAAUCUGUCUGACAGUGAAGAUGAAAACACUAAUCUUCAGAAGAAGAUACUUGAAAAGGAGACCUAUAUCCGAGAGCUGUCUUCCUUAUUUCAGGAUGAAAAGGCAAAUACUUUGAAAGCCAACCGUUUGUCUCAAUCAGUAAAAUUAGUGCAUGAACGACUGCAGUUCCAAAUUCAUAAAAAGGAAGCGGAGAAUGAUAAGUUAAAAGAAUACAUAAAGAGCUUAGAAACCAAGAUUGCCAAGUGGAAUUUACAGUUGAGAACCAGUAAGCAUGAGAUGGUAGCAAUGAAAAAAGCAAGUAAGCAAAAGGCUAUAGCUCUAAAAAAGGCAUCUAAAAUUUAUAAACAAAGGCUUGAAUAUUUUACAGGAAAUAUUGAAAACAUUACUUCCCAGAUUAGAGACCAGGAAGCCAAAUUGUCUGAAACAGUUUCAGCUUCUAAUGCCUGGAAAAGUCAUUAUGAGAAAAUUGUAAUAGAAAAAAUGGAAUUGGAAGUUCAGAUUGAAACAAUGAAAACGCAAAUAUUUCAUCUUUUGGAGGACCUGAAGAAAAUGGAAGCCCAUGGAAAAAAUUCAUAUGAAGAAAUUCUUAAAAAACUUCAGUCAAUUGAGUAUGAAAAUGAAACUCUGAAUCUUGAGAAUACAAAGUUAAAGACUACACUUGCUUCUUUGAAGGAUGAGGUGGUUUCUGUUGAAAAUGAACUCUUAGAAUUACAAGAAGUGGAAAAACAACAGAAAGCCCUUAUUGAAGUAUAUAAAACUCAGGUACAAAAGUUGCAAGAAGCAGCUGAAGUGGUAAAAAACAGAUGUGAAAAUUUGCUACAUGAAAAUAAACUAAUAACAAAAAGAAAAGAUAAAAAAUUAGAGAAGAUGAGAGGCCAGAUGGAGUCUCAGAUGCAGGAGUUAGAGCACGUGCGCGAGUCCUUGACGGCGGCCGAGCGGAGGCUUCACGAGUGUCAGGAGAGCCUGCAGCGCUGCAAGGGGACGUGUGCAGACCAGGCGCACACCGUUAGGCAGCUGCAGGGCCAGGUCGAAGGAAAUCACAGUCUUCUAGCAAAGCUCUCUCUGGAAGAGGAAAAUUAUCUUAUUCAGUUGAAGUGUGAAAACCUUAAACAAAAAUUGGAACAGAUGGAUGCAGAAAACAAAGAGCUUGAAAAGAAGCUGGCAAACCAAGAAGAGUGUCUUAAGCAGAGCAAUCUGAAGUUUAAAGAGAAAUCUGCAGAAUACGCAGCCUUGUCCAGGCAACUGGAAGCUGCUUUGGAGGAAGGCAGACAAAAGGUCUCUGAAGAAAUAGAGAAACUAUCGUCUAGAGAGAGGGCUUUACAAAUUAAAAUAUUAGAUCUGGAAACUGAGCUUAGAAAGAAAAAUGAAGAACAAAAUCAACUUAUUUGCAAAAUGAACAAUAAAGCUCAACAUCAGGAAGUGUGUUUGAAAGAAAUACAACAUAGCCUUGAGAUGUCGGAGAAUCAAAAUGAGAGUAUUAAGAAUUAUUUACGGUUUCUUAAAGCUUCUUAUGUAACAAUGUUUGGAUAAAUUGUGGAAUUUAUUUUCUAAGAGCAGUAGGAUUUUACUAUGCCUCUAAAAUGUGAACUGACUUUCUAAAGCCCCUGACCUGAGUUCACCAAAAGAUUAAAGGGGAACAACUUGUUCCAGCUGCUGCAUGGCCAACUCACAUGGGAUGAUCAAAAUAAGCACUUUCAACACCAAGAAGCUUUAGAGAUCUUUAUUAUUGGGAUGAAGUAGAAGAGAGAUCCACAACUUGUUCCCUGUAGUCUCCUACCCUGUGGGAGCCAGCCCCUGAUAUUUUUUUUUUUUUCUUAAAAUAGCAAAGACUCACAUAGAAUGUUACAAACCGGCCAUAUUUUUUGCCCCUCAAUUGCUAAUGAGAUCAGUGUUACCUUUUUACAUUUUUAUUUGUAAAUUUUUUUAAAAGAUUUCUGUAUUUGAAAGGCAGAGUUACAGAGAAAUCUAGGGAGAGGGAGAGAGAGAGCAAGAUAUCUUCAUCUGCUGGUCCACUCCCCAAAUGGCCACUACAGCCUGGGGCUGGACCAGCUCAAAGCCAGGAACUGGGAACUCUUUCCAGGUCUCCCAUGUCUUCUGCUUUUCCUGGUGCGUUAGCAGGGAGCUGGAUCAGAAGUGGAGCAGCUGGGACUUCAACCUGCACUCAUAUGGAAUGCUGAGAUUGCAGGUGGCAGCUUAGCCUGCUGUGCUACAAUGCUGGUCCCUACCUACCACCACCCCUACCCUUUUUAAAAUUAUCAUACUUAUGGUACUAAAAAACAUACUAGACCCUGGAGGGCUUUCUUCAUUCUCCUCAGGCAAAAGGAGCCUUAAGAAAUGCCCACAUGAAAGGAAACGAAGGCCCUUGAGUGUUGCUCCCUCGACUGCACUCCUGAAGGGCAGAGCUGUAACUUAUUCAGGUUUGUAUCCCAGUCCCUACACAAUAGCAAGUACUCAGUGUGUGCAAGGGUGGAUGGAUGAUGAAUGAGGUAGGUAGUCACUGUCCUGUUUCAGAUGGGAAAACUGUAAGCUAGAGGGAUCAACUGCCAUUGCUGCUGUAUAGAACUCAAGUUUACAGUUGGCAUUUGUCCUCAGAAGUCUUCUGACUCCAAAACUAAAGUUCUGUCUUCCUGUUGUGGCUGAAGCGGUGGCAGCAGCCAGCAGCAGCACUGCUAUUAUUUAUUAAGGAUUUGUGAUAUGCCAGAUGUGUAUUGAUUACUUGCUUUUUGGGACACUAGGACACAGAAAGGUUACAUCACUUACUCAAGAUCACAUAGCGAUUAAGCAGCUGUCAUCCAGAAUCUCUGCUCUUAACUGUGAUCACUACCUUUGCAUUUGUUUCAUAAAUAAGGACAAUAGUUUAUUUUAACAGUAAUGCAUUUAUCUCAUCCAUAAAUCUCUUUUUCAUAUGGUGCUCAUAAAAGUGAUUUGCAGUUACGAUAUUAGAAAAUGGUACCUGCAGUGUUUUAGAUGGACUGUGGGAGAAAGAGACCACCACAGAACGCCUAAGGUUGGUGAUCACUACUGGUGACACACUGUGAUGAGGGACAUCUGUCAGAUUCUGGAAGAACUUUAACAAUCUCUGUGCUGAAUGUGUCCAAGUGCACCAUGGAGAGCAUGCUGGUCGCCCCCAGUUGAACAAACUCAGAGUGAGGGCCCUGAGUCAGCGCCCUGGUUUCCUGGAGCAGUGUCUCUGCUUCCAGUUUUCCACCAUCCCUGUUUCAACAUGCUGCUAAAAGGUUUGCAGGAUUUUCCCUUAUUCUUGAUAUUCAGGGUCUCAAGCUCUUCUUAAGCUCUAAAAGUUUCCUUCCACUGCCUAUGCUAUUACGUCUCCACAUGUUCUUUCCUUCUUCCUGUUUGGUCUCUUGGAUCUGAUCUCCCUGUGACUUAGCCCCCACUUUGGGGUGUCUGUCAUUGCAUAACUUGUAAGGUAUUUCUUUCCUCUUGAUUUCUGACCACUGGUGUGGUUUCAAGAGCAGCCAUUCUCUUUUUCUGUUGAAUGUUGACUUUUAAUUAAGAAAUCUUUUUUAAGUUCUGUAAUUCCAUUAUAUUUUCAUUAAAAUUCUCUUGUGUGUGUUCCAUUGGUUCUACUUCAGGAGGCAUCUCUUAUUUCUGUUCUGCUGGACAUCUUUCUUUCCAAGUGCCAUAAGGGAGGUUUAAUUUUCCCUUGCCUGCUCAUGGCUGUGGUUUUCUCAACACCUGCCAGUGGCCUGUCAUGCACAUCUGCCAAGCAGCAGCAAACCAAGUGGUGAAAGAUGGAGUGGCUUCAGUUCUUGUGGGCCCACGAGACAUGUUACCAUCUGUUGAGUCUCUAUGAGAAAUUUUCUGCUCCCAGACUUUCUUAGUCAUAAGCAGCACUUUUUCCCCAACUACAAAUAUUAGAAUCACAUUGCUAGAGAAGCCUCUUCAAGGCUUUCUGGGGUCAGCAGAUCUUCUGCAGUAGUCAGGAUGUGAAGCCUUUUCUGGAGGUGAGCCACAAUGAGGGUCUGUAGUUGGGAAAGCGUGGAAUAAACAGAGAAUUUUAUCUGCUUAAUACAUCUGAUCUACAUUUGCCAACUAGUGAGCCAUUCAUCACAUGAAGUUCAGAGUGACUCAUUUUUGUAAUUCACAAGUUUGUGUAUGUGAGUUCACAAAUAUUAGUGUGUGUUUGGAGAAAGGUAUAGAAUCCUACAUGCAUUUGGCAAGGGUGGAGAAAAUAGUGUUAAAAUUUCCUAUAUGCACUUUUGCUUCAUUUAAUCUAGUGAGAUUUUAUUUAGCUUUUUCUAAUCAGAUAAAAAAUCUAAAAGAGGACCGUUAUCAAUAAAUGUUAGGGAGUAGCAGAGUGAGACAGGUAAGAAAGGAUGGCCAGAGAAUGAAGUACUAGAGUAUUAUUUUCAGGGGUGCUAUACAUUUGGAUAAGGAAACAGUCAAGAGAAGCGUGCUAGACAUAAAGAUGAAGACUGCUGGAGUUGUUAUAUACAAUGUAUGAGGGCUUCCUUUACUCCACAUCCUUGUCAGCUGUCACCUUUUAUCUAUUUGCUAAUGGCUAUUGUACAGUGAUUAGUGACACCGAGCAUGCCUUUAUGUUCUUGUUGACCACUUGUAUGUCUUUGGAAAACUGUCUUUCAGAUCUGCUGUGCACUUUUUAAUUGGAUUCUUUGUUCCUGUGCCAUUGAGUUGGGUUCCUUUUAUAUUCUGGUUAUUAACGCCUUGUCAGAUGUAUAAUUUGCAAAUAUUUUUUCCUAUUCUGAGGAUUUUCUCCUCAAUUUGUUGAAUGUUUCCUUCAUUGUGCAGAAGACUUAACUUUGAUUAAACCCUUUUUUUCUUUCUUUCUUAAAAUUUAUUUUAGAGGGAGACAAGUAGUGAGGGAGAAGGUAAGAGGGAUGAAGGAAGGGAGGGAGGGGGAGAGAGAGGUCCCAUUCCCUGCUUCACUCCCAAAUGCCAGCAAUGGCUGGGACUAGGAGGUGAAGCUAGGGCUUCCAUGUGGGUGGCAGGAGCCCAAUCACUUGGGCUAUCACUGCUGCCUCCUAGGAUCUGCAUUAGCAGAAAGCUGGAGUUACAAACCAGAGUCAGGUGUUGAACACAAAUACAACGUGGGAUGUAGCUACAAGAUGUCUUAACCACUAAGCUAAACAGCCAGCCCUAUUUUGCUAUUGUUUCUUAUGUUUUUGGAAUUUUACCCACAAAAUUCUGUUUUGUUCCAAUGUCCUGAAGCAUUUUUUUCCUGUUUUUUUUUUCUAGUGUUUUCAUAGCUUUAGGUUUUACAUUUAGAUCUUUCAUAAAUUUUGAGUUGAUUGUCAUAUAUAGUGAAAGAGGAUCUGUUUUCAUUCUUCCACAUACAGAAAUGCAAUGUUCCCUGCCCUAUUUAUUAAAAAGCCUCUCCUUUCUCCACUUAGUCACCUUUGUUAGAGAUCCUUUGGCUGUAAGUGUGUGAGAUUACUUCUAAUCUCUGUUCAACGAGUUUUCUAUCUUCUGAUAUUUUCUUUUUACUUGUUAGUGUCUGUAAGUUGGAAGAAGACCUUUUAGAAUAUCUUGUAGGACCAGUCUGGUGGUGAUAAAUUCAGUUUUUGUUUGGGAAUGUCUUGAUUUCAUCUUCAUAUCUAAGCUUUGUUGGGUAGAGAUUUCUUGAUAAGCGGUGGAAGUCUUAUCCCUCUUUCUUCUGGCCUGUAAGUUUUCUACAGGGAAGUCUGCAGUCAGGCAUCUAUCUGAAUAUACUCUCUACCCAUUUGUCCUCCUCAAGUCCCCCUUGAACUCAAGUAAAUUGGAUAUUUGCUCUUUCAAUGCUAUCCCAAAGUUACCUUCAAUUUUCCUCAUUCUUCGUUCGUUCUUCUUUUUCCUCUUCUGACUGUAUUUUCGAAUAGCUUGUUUUUGAGCUAAUUCCUUCUGUUUGAUCUAUUCUGCCAUGGAUGCUUUCUAUUGUAUUUUUAAUUUCACUUGGUGUACUUUUCAAUUCAGGGUUUAUGUUUGAUUUUUUAAAAAAGAUUUAUUUAUUUAUUUGAAAGGCAGAAUUACAGAGAAGUAUAGGCAGAGGCAGAGAGCGAGAGAGAGAGAAAGUCUUCCAUUCACUGGUUCACUCCCCAGAUGGCCACAACGGGCGGAGCUGAGCUGAUCCAAAGCCAGGAGCCUGGAGUUUUCUUCCGGAUCUUCUAUGUGGGUGCAGGGGCCCAAGGACUUGAACCAUCUUUUGCUGCCUUCCCAGGCAUAUUACCAGGGAUCUGGAUCAGAAGUGGAGCAGCUGGCACUCAAACCAGAGCCCAUAUGGGAUGCCAGCAUUACAGGCGGCAGCUUUACACAGUGCAGGCCCAUUAUAUUUGAUUUUUAAAAUUUUAUUUUACUGAUUUGAAAGACAUACACACAGAAGGUGAGAUAUCUUCCAUCUAGUAACUUAAUCAAAUGCCCACAAUGGUCAGGUCAGGGUUAGGCUUAAGCCAGGAGCCCAGAAUUCAGUCCAAAUUUCCCAUAUCAGUGGCAAGGACCCAAGUAUUUUAGCCAUUGUCUUGCCCCCAGAGUCCACAUUAACAGGAAGCUGGAAUGGGAAGCAGAGUAAGGACUGAAACCCAGACACUCCAAUAUGGCAUGUGCUUGUCCCACAUGGCAUCUUAACUAUUGUGUCAGCCACCUCUGAUUUUUAAAAAAUUUGAUCCUAUCUCUCUUAAGUCUCUCUGUUAAAGCAUUGUUUCUCUGUUUUUUCCUUAAUCGUUUUGUUUACUUAAAUAACUUUUAAAUUCUUCAUCCCAAAUUUACAUAUGUCAGUUUCUAUCUGGUCAGGUUCUGAUAUUUUAUUUUGUUUAUUACAUAAGGUCAGGUUUCCCUGCAAGUUCUUGAUAUCUGUUGGUGUAUGAAAUCAUCUGUGAAUUGAAAGUUGAAUUUUUUUUCCAGUCUUCAUUUGUGUAUGCCUGCCUUUCAGAAAUUCUAAGCAGUCUGCUUACUUUUUUCUGAACCUGUGAACACUCUAUUUCAGCACUAGGUGGCGCCUAAGUGUUGCAUGACUGCUGUUAGUGUGUUACUGUUUCAGCACUAGGGGGCACUCCUAUACCAUGAUCAUCCCAUAUCUACAGUUGGCAUCUUGUUCAGAAUGUACUGCUAAAGGCUCCAUCUGUAAGCACUGGCCUGGAGAUAGGGGCCUUUGGGCUUUGGUGCUGAGUCCCACCAUAGCAGGCCCAGUAUUGAGCUUUAAGGCAAAGUUCUGCACUGACUCAGCGGCUGGAGGUUAGGGGAGGGGCAGUGGAGGAGUUCCUUUAUUGAUGGGUUUAGAAGCUUGAUUUGUAGUCACUGGCCCUGGGGGCAAGAGCCGUGUGGGUUUCUCAGUGGAGGACCUGGUACUAGGUUUCAAGUCUGAGGCCUAUAGUUAAAUUUUUCUCCCCCAUGUGAGAGGCAUGCAGGAGCAUUACUCUAAGCUGGUGAAAAGAGGUGGGCUUUUCAUAAAUAGCUGUUUGAAUUGGUGUCUCUAUGGGUAGAUGAUCACUGGCACAUUCUACUCAGCCACUGUCUUGCUCAGCCUCCAAGGAAAGCUUGAAUGUCCCUUGAACGUAACUCUAUCUAAAACUUCAUUCCCCCUCGCCCCUAUUUCCAGAAGAUUUGUUUUUACUUCUACACAGAAACACAGAUAGUUACUUCAAAACUUCAUACAUUGGCAUUUCCAGACUAGAGGUAUAACUUGGUUUUAUGAUUUGAGCUUGCUUUAUUUGAAGAGUUUUAUUUUCAACCUUCUUUAUGGCUCAUGUGGCAGUUGAGGAAUUUCAGAAAGUAAAAAUUUUAAUUUUAAUUGAGCUGAGUCAUUUGAAAUACUAAGCACAACACUUGGUAUUAUAGUAGGCAUUCAAAAAUUUCUAUCAUGGGGCUGGCACUGUGGUGCGGCAGGUUAAAGCCCUGGUCUGCAGCACCGGCAUCCCAUAUGGGCGCCAGUUCAAGUCCUGGCUGUUCCACUUCUGAUCCAACUCUCUGCUAUGGCCUGGGAAGGCAGUAGAAGAUGGCCCAAGCACUUGGGGCCCUGCACCCAUGUGGGAGACCCGGAAGAAGCUCCUGGCUCCUGACUUCAGAUCAGCUCAGUUAUGGCCAUUGAAGCCAUUUGAGGAGUGAAUCCGCAGAUGGAAGACCUCUUUCUUUCUCUGGCUCUACCUUUCUCUAUAACUCUGUCUUUCAGAUAAAUAAAAUAAAUCUUUUUUUAAAAAAAGAUAAACUUCAAGAACUUCUUCAUUUUUUCUUGCCUGACAUACAAAGAGAUUUUAUAAAUUAAUAAAAUAUGAAUUCCAUUAUAUAAAAUGGUCAAAGGAUAAGAACAAACAGUUCACAAGAGAAGUACCAAUGGCCAAUAACUGUGUUUAUAAGAUGUUCAGAUUAAUUAAUCUUUUAUUUUUCUCUAUAAUUUAAAGAAGUAGUUAUUAGUAUUGAAAAGGGUAAAGAUUCUCAUAUAACCAAUGAAGUUUAUUUUUCCAUUAUGUGAAUGUGCCAUAAUAUAUUAACCAUUAGUCUACUGUUGGAUAAUUGAGUUGUUUCCAAAGAUAACUGGGAAAAAAUCUGAAAAUAUUUGGAAAUUAGGAAGAUAACCCAACUCACAGAAUUUUAAAAUAUACUUAUUUAUAAUUCAUGAAUUAAAUCUUAAAUCUAAAAAUAUUUUGUGCUGUAGUACAUUAAAACGUGUGAGAAGGCAGACGGCAUCUCUAAAAAGAAAUUUACAGUUCUGCCUACAAUGUUACUGACAGUCCUUGGCCGUCCCCUCAACAGUGGUGGUUACUUUGGAAGCUGAGCCGAGUGAAGAGCUUUUUUCAGCCUAGAGCCAACAGGGUCUGUAGCUCUGACCCAGGAGUCCUGCAGCCCCAGGGCAGUUCUAUUUCCAGUGACCCAGCUCUUGGCUGGCAGAGCUGCCAAGGCUCUCCAAAAGCUGACUUCUCCAUCUGAAGCCUUGGCUUCCCACAUGGAAAACCAAUGCCAUUUGCAGUGGACUGGCCUAUUGGGUCUGCUUGAUGGCAGAUCACUGUGUAAAGCAGCCAUUGAUUGGCCUGCCACCCGUCUUACAUUGCUACCAUUGCCUAGGUUGCUUUUCUUUCCUCCUGGUCUCUGGUAAAGGAGACCGCGGAGGAAGACUUUAAGAGGAAGCAAGUCAUGGGGGUGCUCAGUCCCAUUCCUACUCUUUAGUGGCCUGAGAUAAAAAUCUACAGUUACAGACAUGUUCUCAUGGUUUUUCUGUGAGGUAGACAAUGCCCAUGAGGAAAGCUGUGUCCUCACUUUAACAUCAAACAUGAUGACUACCUUAUCUAUAAACAAUUAGAACUUAAGGAGAGACAGAUAAUACAAUCGAUUACUUACUUAAACAGAAUGCAAAAUCUGUGUGUUUUUUGGUCACCCCCCAAAAUUGGAAAUAAAACCUUAAAUGUAAGAGUUAGCACCUGGAAUCAUCCCAUAACUUGGAACAAUUUUAACUGAGUCAGAACUAGGGAAGAGAAAAGAGCUUACUGGAGCUGGCUAGCUUUCUUUUAGAGAUGCCAUCUGCCUUCUAUUCAGGCCAGCUCUCCCAGGCCAGCUAGUAAUGGAAGUCAGUAAAGAAGUGAUGAAAACUGCAAAUGGCACACAGAACUUCCAAAAUCCAGCAAAGGGAGGGAGAGAGACAGAGAAAGAGAAAGACAGGGGCAGGGUGAGAUGCUACUGCCACUGCUCCCUGCUGCCACUGCUACUGUUAUCCUGGCUAUCUUGCCAGGGGAUACCAUCUUUCCACUUAUAGAGAUCUACAAGUAUCACGGACUCUGAAGGCCAGGAGAGAGACAGGAACAAAGUACACCAACCAUGGCAGCCACAUGCCACUACUUCCUCACCUCCUCUCUUGGAGACACUGUAUUACCAACAGUAGAUUCAUCAGAACAUAACCUGUGAAAUCUAGGGCGGAGCCUACCAGUACCCACACCUGCCAGUGUGAAAUCCUCAGGAUAACCUCUAUCCACCCCACAGGACUGUGACAAGUUCUCCUUAACAUAUUUCAAUGCUGAAACUUGGGCUCUUGAUGGUAUAAGCCCAUACAUUUGUCAUGGCACACACAGGACCUGGAGAAAGUUGUAUCCACAUUAUACAUCUGAGAGUCACAGCUAAUUGGAAGCAUUAGCAACAACAAUUAGGGAAAAGAGAGCAAUAAAGACUUGUCCAGUCUUACCAUGUGAGUAGCAAGGGACUGGCAAUUCCCUUGUCAAAUUCCCAUGUCAAAAUUGAAAAGGAAGAAAUACAAAUAUACGUGUUUGCACUUGACAUGCUCUUGUACAUGGGAAAACCUAAACAGUCCACAAAAGAGCUGUUAGAACUGACAACUCAAUUCAGUAAAGUUGUAGGAUACAAAAUCAGCAUACAAAAAACAGUAGUAAUUUUAUACACCAAUAAUAUCUCACUGAAAGAGAAAUCAGAAAAGAAACCCCUUUCACAAUAGCCAUCAAAAAUUGAGUAAUAAAUUUGAAGAAGUGAAAGAUCUCUACAAUAAAAAUUAUAAAACAUUGAUGAGCCAGGAUGUGGUGAUUGCAGGCAAGGAAAGCCAAGACAUAGUGGCAAAAAUUGUUCUCCAUGAAGGAUCUCUGUGAGUGAGACCCCAGUGGAAAGAAGGGGCCAUCAAAGCAGGGUGUACUUUUCUCUGAAGGGAGGAGAGAGCUUCCACUUUGCAUGUGGCCCUGUCUAAAAACCGACGGAGUUUGAGAACUCAGAAGACAUUAAUAGCCUUGGCAGCUCAUGUCAAGAGCCUCAGGUGAUCACUGACAUCAUAAAUAAGUGUCACUUUUUUGCUUUUUAAAUAUUUAUUUAUUUGAAAGAGUUAUACAGAGAGAGAAGGAGAGGCAGAGAGAGAGAGGUCUUCCAUCCACUGGUUCAUUCCCCCAAAUGACCACAACGGCCAGAGCUGCACUGAUCUGAAGCCAGGAUCCAGGAACUUCUUCCAGAUCUCCUACAUGGGUGCAGGUGCCCAAGGACUUGGGUCAUCUUCUACUGCUGUCCCAGGCCAUAGCAAAGAGCUGGAUUGGAAAUGGAGCAGCUGGGACUCGAACCAGCACCCAUAUGGGAUGCUGGCACUGCAGGCAGCAGCUUUACCCACUACGCCACAGUGCUAGCCCCAAGAGUGUCAGUUGUUAAAUCAACAACAAGAGUCACUGUGCACUUGCUCCCCAUGCUGGACCUCUGUCCUUAAUGAGUUGUACUAUGAGAAUUAACAGUAAAAUUUGUCUUCAAACUGUACUUUAUACUUUGUGUGCCUGUGUGGAUGCAAAUAGUUGAAAUCUCUCCUUAGUAAAGAGUUGGUUUUCUGUAUAUAAAGUCAAUUAAAAACGAAUCUUAAUGGAAAAUGGAACGGGAGAGGGAGUGGGAGGUGGGAUGGCAGUCUGGGUGGGAGAGCAGGAAUGGGGGGAAGAAACACUAUAUCCCUAAAAGCUGUACAUAUGAAAAUUUAUAUUCAUUACAUAAAAACUUUCAAAAGAUAAAGUACCCUAAUACACUGUUGGUGGGAAUGUAAACUAGUACAACUAUUAUGGAAGACAGUAUGGAGAUUCCUCAGAAAACUAAACAUAGAUCUGCUGUGUGACCCAGCAGUCCCACUCCUGGGACUAUAGCCAAAGGAAAUGAAAACAGCAUAUAAAAGAGUUACCUGCACGCCUAUAUUUAUAGCAGCCCAACUCACAAUAGCUUGAGAUAUGGAGUCAACCUAGAUAUCCAUCAACUGAUGCCUGGAUAAAUAAAAUGUAGUAUAUAUACAUGAUGGAAUAUUACUCAACCAUACAAAAGAAUGAAAUCCUGACAUUUGCAACAAAAUGGAUGCAACUGGAGAUCACUAUGCUAAGUGAAAUAAACCAGACCCCAAAAGAAAAAUAUGUCAUACUUUCUCUUAUUUGUGAUAGUUAAUAUAUAGAGGAUAAAAAUUUUGUGGAUGACAUCAUUUUGUAUACAGUUCUUGCUUCACUGAAUCCUACCAUGUAAAUGACAAUGUAUUCUCAUUUCACAUGCUAAAAAAUAAGAAAUAGAGGGGUAGUAAGGACUCUUGAGGUAUUAGUAAAGCACUGUUCUUAAUUUGGGUGUUAUGAGUGUGAUCAGGUAACAAAAAACUCAUUGAUCUGUAUGUGUAAGUACAUUUCUUGGUGUGUAUACUAUGUUUUAAUAAAAUGUUAAAAAACUGAUGAAUCAUUGAACACACAAAAAAUGGAAAACUAUUCCUUGCUCAUGGAUUGGAAGAAUCAGUAUUGUGGGAACGCUUAUACUACCUAAAGCAAUGUACAGAUUUAGUGCAAAAUCCCUAGCAAUAUACAAAUGUCAUUCUUUAUAGAAUUAGAAAAAAACACUUUUAAAAUUUAUAUGGAAUCAUUAAAAAAUCCAGAAUAACCAAAGUGAUACUGACUUUAAAAAAGAAAUCAAGCUGGAGGUAUCACAAUACCUGAUU